rnacentral:rRNA from 1 species
AGUCGAGCCUGCCCAGUGAUUAAAUUUAACGGCCGCGGUACUCUGACCGUGCAAAGGUAGCAUAAUCAUUUGCCCUAUAAUUGAGGGCUAGUAUGAAUGGUUUGACAAGAGUGAUUCUGUCUCUAUAAAAUUUUAUAGAAUUUGGUUUUUAGGUGAAGAAACCUAAAUAAUAUUGAAAGACAAGAAGACCCUAUCGAGCUUAAAAAAAUUUUACUGAUUAAAUGUAAAAAUCAUUUCAAUAAAAAAUUUUGGUUGGGGCGACUAAGGAACAUAAAAAGCUUCCUUUUUAUAAUAAAAACUAAUAGGUAUUGAUCCAAAAAAAUUGAUUAAUAAAAUUAGUUACCGUAGGGAUAACAGCAUAAUCUUUUUUAAGAGUUCUUAUCGAAAAAAAGGUUUGUGACCUCGAUGUUGGACUAGGAUAUCCUGAAGAUGUAGAAGUCUUCAAAGGUUGGUCUGUUCGACCAAUAAAAUCCUACGUGAUCUGAGUUCAGAC